rnacentral:rRNA from 1 species
CGGACGGGUGAGUAACACGUGGAUAACCUACCUAUAAGACUGGGAUAACUUCGGGAAACCGGAGCUAAUACCGGAUAAUAUAUUGAACCGCAUGGCUCAAUAGUGAAAGACGGUUUUGCUGUCACUUAUAGAUGGAUCCGCGCCGCAUUAGCUAGUUGGUAAGGUAACGGCUUACCAAGGCAACGAUGCGUAGCCGACCUGAGAGGGUGAUCGGCCACACUGGAACUGAGACACGGUCCAGACUCCUACGGGAGGCAGCAGCC